rnacentral:lncRNA from 1 species
AUGGCUCCCCCAUGGGGGGCGGGCUCCUGUGACUGCAGGAACAACGGAUCAGCCCUUUGCACACACACACCCUUUAAUACUCCCAAAAGCCCAACAGAGGACACCGGCGGGGGGCGGGGGGCCCUGUCCAGGGUCACAAGGCCAGAGCCCCGGGCCCUGUGGGCCCACAGCCCUCACGGCGACCGGCCGUCCUCCACCCACCGGCGGGAGCUUCACCAGAACCAGGAUCAGCCUGGGCUCCCACCCUACCCGCCCCACCGACUCCUGGCGGCCGACUCGUCAAGUGCUGCGGUUGGAGUGGCAGUUCAAGUAGCAGAGGAGCCUGGGACAGGCCAGCACCCACUCUGUGUCCUGACUUCAGCCGAGGUGGCCAGGCCUCCUGGGGCCGCUGCUCCCCCUGCCCCACCCUCCACGGGCAGGCACCACCCUCUCCCUGGUCUGGGCGUGUGCCAGGAGCCCUCCCAGCCCCAGGCCCGCUCAGUUGACCCCCCGAUGCCCCCCCGACCGCCCUCCCGGCCUCUCCUGGGGGCCAGCCGAGCGCCCACUCCCCUCCUGCCUUUGGUCCCUGGAGGGCGGCUGCCUCCUCCUCCUGGACUCCGAGGCUGGCCCCUGGUCCCCCUGCCGGCCCCUCACGGUGGAGCAGGCCUCCCAUCUUCCAUCCAGGAAGACGAAGUUCCUGAGGCCCAAGGUCAACAGGCCCAAGGUCAGGUGCCCUUCGUGUUGGUCGAAUGCCAAGGCCUUUCCAACCGCCGUGUCCCCUCCCCCUGGCCCGCGGCGGGCAUGGGGGCCAUGGGUUGCCGAGGCGGAGGGCCCCUAAGCUUCCCACGGCACUCGGGCUCCCGAAACGGCCAGGCGUCUCUAGGGGAGCUGGCUUUCGGGGUCCUGGCACCUGGACGCCGCGCACGCGCGCACCUGUCCCCACCAGCCCGGACACGACCCCCGCCCCACCCGCGGCCCCGCCACGGCCGAGCUGCUCCAAAGCCAGAGGUGCGAGCCAGCGUGGGACCUGGGACCAGAGCCUGA